AUUGAACGCUGGCGGCAUGCCUUACACAUGCAAGUCGAACGGCAGCGGGGGAGAAGCUUGCUUUUCCUGCCGGCGAGUGGCGAACGGGUGAGUAAUACAUCGGAACGUGCCCUGUAGUGGGGGAUAACUAGUCGAAAGAUUAGCUAAUACCGCAUACGACCUGAGGGUGAAAGUGGGGGACCGCAAGGCCUCAUGCUAUAGGAACGGCCGAUGUCUGAUUAGCUAGUUGGUGGGGUAAAGGCCUACCAAGGGGACGAUCAGUAGCUGGUCUGAGAGGACGAUCAGCCACACUGGGACUGAGACACGGCCCAGACUCCUACGGGAGGCAGCAGUGGGGAAUUUUGGACAAUGGGCGAAAGCCUGAUCCAGCAAUGCCGCGUGUGUGAAGAAGGCCUUCGGGUUGUAAAGCACUUUUGUCCGGAAAGAAAUGGCUCUGGUUAAUACCUGGGGUCGAUGACGGUACCGGAAGAAUAAGGACCGGCUAACUACGUGCCAGCCGCCGCUGUAA
rnacentral:rRNA from 1 species